GAGUAAUAUAUCAUGAGAGCAACUAAGAUGCCAUUUUCUCUGACUUUUCUGGUUCCGCUGAACUUUCCUUACGUCUCAGAAGGUUUCUGAAAAUUCCUUCUGCUACAUUUGCAUAACGAUUGAUGCUACUUCUAAUCACCCCUAAGCAAACGAAGAGCGGAAAUUCCUGCAAUCCUUUUCAACCCAAAGAGGACAAUAGUCAUUCUAAAAUGACUAAAAGUAUUUUCAUUAUAUUUUUACUACUGG